GUCCCUUUAACGCAGUGGUUAGCGUGCUGCUCUUAUAAUGCAGAAGUCGCAAGUUCGAUCCUUGCAAGGGACA
rnacentral:tRNA from 2 species